AAGUCGUAACAAGGUUUCCGUAGGUGAACCUGCGGAAGGAUCAUUGGAAGGGGAGUUGAGGGGAGAAUAGAGUUGGAAUGAGGAGAAUAAUCUUUAAUCUACAACGAAGUACAACAACAACUGCUGACAAUGGAUCUCUGGGCUCUU
rnacentral:misc_RNA from 1 species